rnacentral:rRNA from 1 species
UAGGGAAUAUUGGGCAAUGGGCGAAAGCCUGACCCAGCCAUGCCGCGUGAAUGAUGAAGGCCUUAGGGUUGUAAAGUUCUUUCGCCGAUGAAGAUAAUGACGGUAGUCGGAUAAGAAGCCCCGGCUAACUUCGUGCCAGCAGCCGCGGUAAUACGAAGGGGGCAAGCGUUGUUCGGAAUUACUGGGCGUAAAGCGCAUGUAGGCGGUCCUACAAGCCAGUGGUGAAAUCCCAGAGCUCAACUCUGGAAUUGCCUUUGGAACUGUAGGACUGGAGUCUCGGAGGGGGUGGUGGAAUUCCAAGUGUAGAGGUGAAAUUCGUAGAUAUUUGGAGGAACACCGGUGGCGAAGGCGACCACCUGGACGAGUACUGACGCUGAGAUGCGAAAGCGUGGGGAGCAAACAG